rnacentral:rRNA from 1 species
GAUGAACGCUGGCGGCGCGCCUAAUACAUGCAAGUCGAGCGAACAGAUGAGGAGCUUGCUCCUCUGACGUUAGCGGCGGACGGGUGAGUAACACGUGGAUAACCUACCUAUAAGACUGGGAUAACUUCGGGAAACCGGAGCUAAUACCGGAUAAUCUAUUGAACCGCAUGGUUCAAUAGUGAAAGACGGUUUUGCUGUCACUUCUAGAUGGAUCCGCGCCGCAUUAGCUAGUUGGUAAGGUAACGGCUUACCAAGGCAACGAUGCGUAGCCGACCUGAGAGGGGGAUCGGCCACACUGGAGCUGGGACACGGUCCAGGCUCCUACGGGAGGCAGCAGUAGGGAAUCUGACGCAAUGGGCGAAAGCCUGACGGAGCAACGCCACGUGAGUGAUGAAGGUCUUCGGAUCGUAAAACUCUGUUAUUAGGGAAGAACAAAUGUGUAAGUAACUAUGCACGUCUUGACGGUACCUAAUCAGAAAGCCACGGCUAACUACGUG